UGAGGAAUAUUGGUCAAUGGACGCAAGUCUGAACCAGCCAAGUAGCGUGCAGGAUGACGGCCCUAUGGGUUGUAAACUGCUUUUAUAUGGGGAUAAAGUGGGGAACGUGUUCCCUUUUGCAGGUACCAUAUGAAUAAGGACCGGCUAAUUCCGUGCCAGCAGCCGCGGUAAUACGGAAGGUUCGGGCGUUAUCCGGACUUAUUGGGUUUAAAGGGAGCGUAGGCCGUUUGGUAAGCGUGUUGUGAAAUGUAUGAGCUCAACUUCUAGAUUGCCGCGCGAACCGUCAUACGUGAGUGCGCACAACGUAGGCUGAAUUCAUGGUGUAGCGAUGAAAUGCUUAGAUAUCAUGGAGAACUCCGAUUGCGAAGGCAGCUUACGGGAGCGCAACUGACUCUGAAGCUCGAAGGUGCGGGUAUCGAACAGG
rnacentral:rRNA from 1 species